AAGUCGUAACAAGGUCUCCGUUGGUGAACCAGCGGAGGGCAUCAUUACUGAGUACUACACUCUCUACCCUUUGUGAACUAUUAUACCUGUUGCUUCGGCGGCGCCCGCAAGGGUGCCCGCCGGUCUCAUCAGAAUCUCUGUUUUCGAACCCGACGAUACUUCUGAGUGUUCUUAGCGAACUGUCAAAACUUUUAACAACGGAUCUCUUGGCUCCAGCAUCGAUGAAGAACGCAGCGAAACGCGAUAUGUAAUGUGAAUUGCAGAAUUCAGUGAAUCAUCGAAUCUUUGAACGCACAUGGCGCCUUCCAGUAUCCGCUGGGAGGCAUGCCUGUCCGAGCGUCGUUUCAACCCUCGAGCCCCUGUGGCCCGGCGUUGGGGAUCUGCCACGGCAGGCCCCUAAAACCAGUGGCGGACCCGACAGGGCCCUCUCCUUCUUGCGCAGUAGCAUUCGCCUCGCAUCGGAUCCUCGGCGUCCGCCUCUAAACCCCACAAGCCCGCUUCGGCGGCACCAAGGUUGACCUCGGAUCAGGUAGGAAUACCCGCUGAACUUAA
rnacentral:rRNA from 1 species